UACGUAGGUGGCAAGCGUUGUCCGGAUUUACUGGGCGUAAAGAGCGCGCAGGCGGUCGAUUAAGUCGAAUGUGAAAGCCCCCGGCUCAACUGGGGAGGGUCAUUCGAUACUGAUCGACUUGAAGGCAGGAGAGAGAAGUGGAAUUCCCGGUGUAGUGGUGAAAUGCGUAGAUAUCUGGAGGAACACCGGUGGCGAAGGCGGCAUUCUGGACUACAACUGACACUGAGGAACGAAAGCCUGGGGAGCAAACGGG
rnacentral:rRNA from 1 species